rnacentral:lncRNA from 1 species
AAGUUGUCACCUUUUAUGAAACAUUCCAAGAAAAUGACAGCACUGCUUUGAAGUCGCUGAAACAUUUGAAAUACAAGCAGAGUAGAGUUCAUGAUGCAUCUGUGGAACUUGGUGGUCUACAAAAGUCAGAGCAUGCCAAGCAGGGAAAAAAGGAAGAAAUGCAUGCCUCAUCUAAAACUUCAGAAGGGAAUCAUUCACUGAAGAUGAUGUCCUGUUUGUUGGAAAAGAGGAAGCUCAAGUAGUUACUGGGAGAAAAGCUGUCCUACUGAAUCAGUGUGGAUUUCAAGAGGAUCUGUUGCAGGGAAAUUCUCUAUUUGCUCCUUUUCAUGGCAAGUAUUAUGAUUCUUUAAUUUGUCACAUUGAGCAGCAAAUUUUUAAAAAAUGAGACAC